ACCCGCCCACCUGCAUGCAGCUGUCGAAGAACAAGCCCAGACACGUCUCUUCACGGAGCCCAAGGAAAACACUUUACCGGACUCAUCACUCAUAUGGGAUGGCCCUGUAAAUUGUGCAGCACUGUUGUGCCAACCAAGAGUGAUUUUUUAAAGCAUUACAGACUGCACCAUGGGACCUUUGGACACAGCCAUGCCUUCCCUUGCAUUCAUAUAGGUUGCCCAUGCUCUUUUAAAUGCUGGAGUUCCCUUCGCUCUCAUCUGUCAAGAUACCACCCAGAAGUCAAAUUCCUCAACUCACCUCAAGUAAGUCCUUCAUUCACCUGCCCUCUGUGUAAAAAGACUGUGCCAGGAGCAUCAAUGAUAUGAUGGCCAGAACGUAUACAGUUGGAGAAGACAGGAAGUUGUUGCCAAGUCUCCUACUGGGGUGGCAGAAUUUAAGGAAAGAUGGCCUGCCCUCUUCGAACCAUUCCAGAUUAAUGAAGAGUUCCGAAGGUGCACUGCUGUUCCACUGGAAUCAACAUUUAUGUCCCAGCUGGACAGGUACACUCCAAAACUCCUGGAGCUCUUCAGUGCAAAAGGUGGAGUGACUGGUCAGCGCAUCAAGAACUUGUUGAUGGAACUGAUACAGGACCCAAGUGCCUCUGCAGUGAUGAAGAGAGAUGUGACUCUGAGAUGCCUCAUAGAGUACAUGGGAGAGAGUGGACAGGAGCUAAUCUCUGACUACUGUGUAA